ACUCUAGGCGGUGGAUCACUCGGCUCGUGCGUUGAUGAAGAGCGCA
rnacentral:rRNA from 1 species